GAUGAACGCUGGCGGCGUGCUUAACACGUGCAAGUCGAACGGUGAAGGCGGAGCUUGCUCUGCUGGAUCAGUGGCGAACGGGUGAGUAACACGUGAGCAAUCUGCCCCUGACUCUGGGAUAAGCGCUGGAAACGGCGUCUAAUACUGGAUACGAGCUGCGAAGGCAUCUUCAGCAGCUGGAAAGAAUUUCGGUCAGGGAUGAGCUCGCGGCCUAUCAGCUUGUUGGUGAGGUAAUGGCUCACCAAGGCGUCGACGGGUAGCCGGCCUGAGAGGGUGACCGGCCACACUGGGACUGAGACACGGCCCAGACUCCUACGGGAGGCAGCAGUGGGGAAUAUUGCACAAUGGGCGAAAGCCUGAUGCAGCAACGCCGCGUGAGGGACGACGGCCUUCGGGUUGUAAACCUCUUUUAGCAGGGAAGAAGCGAAAGUGGCGGUACCUGCAGAAAAAGCGCCGGCUAACUACGUG
rnacentral:rRNA from 1 species